GACGAACGCUGGCGGCGUGCUUAACACAUGCAAGUCGAACGGUAAAGCCUUAUCUUGCUUUGGUGGAUUAGUGGCGAACGGGUGAGUAACACGUGAGCAACGUGCCCAGGACUCUGGAAUAACCGCGGGAAACCGUGGUUAAUACCGGAUAGGUGCCGAGGCCGCAUGGUCUUGGGAAGGAAAGUUUUUGCGGUUCUGGAUCGGCUCCCGGCCUCUCAGCUGGUUGGUGGGGUCUUGGCCUACCAAGGCUACGACGGGGAGCCGGCCGGGGAGGGUGACCGGCCACACUGGGACUGGGACACGGCCCAGACUCCUACGGGAGGCAGCAGUGGGGAAUAUUGCACAAUGGGCGCAAGCCGGAUGCAGCAACGCCGCGUGGGGGAUGACGGCCUUCGGGUUGUAAACCUCUUUUGGUAGGGAAGAGGCGGAAGUGACGGUACCUGCAGAAAAAGCACCGGCUAACUACGUG
rnacentral:rRNA from 1 species